UACGGGGGGGGCAAGCGUUGUUCGGAAUUACUGGGCGUAAAGGGCUCGUAGGCGGCCAACUAAGUCAGACGUGAAAUCCCUCGGCUUAACCGGGGAACUGCAUCUGAUACUGGAUGGCUUGAGUUCGGGAGAGGGAUGCGGAAUUCCAGGUGUAGCGGUGAAAUGCGUAGAUAUCUGGAGGAACACCGGUGGCGAAGGCGGCUCUCUGGACCGAGACUGACGCUGAGGCGCGAAAGCGUGGGGAGCAAACAGG
rnacentral:rRNA from 1 species